CCUACGGGAGGCAGCAGUGGGGAAUUUUGGACAAUGGGCGCAAGCCUGAUCCAGCAAUGCCGCGUGAGUGAAGAAGGCCUUCGGGUUGUAAAGCUCUUUUGUCAGGGAAGAAACGGUGAGGGCUAAUAUCUCUUGCUAAUGACGGUACCUGAAGAAUAAGCACCGGCUAACUACGUGCCAGCAGCCGCGGUAAUACGUAGGGUGCAAGCGUUAAUCGGAAUUACUGGGCGUAAAGCGUGCGCAGGCGGUUUUGUAAGUCUGUCGUGAAAUCCCCGGGCUCAACCUGGGAAUUGCGAUGGAGACUGCAAGGCUAGAAUCUGGCAGAGGGGGGUAGAAUUCCACGUGUAGCAGUGAAAUGCGUAGAGAUGUGGAGGAACACCGAUGGCGAAGGCAGCCCCCUGGGUCAAGAUUGACGCUCAUGCACGAAAGCGUGGGGAGCAAACAGGAUUAGAUACCCUGGUAGUCCACGCCCUAAACGAUGUCUACUAGUUGUCGGGUUUUAAUUAACUUGGUAACGCAGCUAACGCGUGAAGUAGACCGCCUGGGGAGUACGGUCGCAAGAUUAAAACCUCAAAUGAAUUGACGG
rnacentral:rRNA from 1 species